rnacentral:snRNA from 2 species
AUGCUCACUUCGGCACCACAUUUAUUAAAAUUGCAAUGAUACAGAGAUUAGCACGGCUCCUGAGCAAGGAUGACAUGCAAUAUAAAAUUCAAAUCGAAAAAAUGUUU